UACGGGGGGGGCAAGCGUUGUUCGGAAUUACUGGGCGUAAAGGGUUCGUAGGUGGCUUGCUAAGUCAGACGUGAAAUCCCUCAGCUUAACUGGGGAACUGCGUCUGAUACUGGCGAGCUUGAGUGCAGGAGAGGAACGCGGAAUUCCAGGUGUAGCGGUGAAAUGCGUAGAUAUCUGGAGGAACACCGGUGGCGAAGGCGGCGUUCUGGACUGCAACUGACACUGAUGAACGAAAGCCAGGGAGCAAACGGG
rnacentral:rRNA from 1 species